AGAGCCCUUGCUGAGCGGAAGGAAACGUUGCUGCUGAAGCGUCCGUGGGGUUUGGGGGGCGUCCUCGUGCACCAUAGUUUUAAAUCGCCGCUUGGGACCCGGGGGUAGGGCUGGGGCGUGGCAACUUAGGGAGCGAGCCGGUUGCAGGAGGCUGGAAGUGCAUCGAAAGGGAACAGCGCGGUUGGGAUUCCGAGCUGGAGAUCCUCACGUGCUGUGGGAUCCCAUAGGCGCGUUUGCGGAGAAGUAAGUCCCACUGUGUUCAGCGGAGCUUGCUCCGAGGGAAGGGCGCGUAGGAUUGCAGCAUUAUAAAGCUCCCAGAUCGAGCGGAGAAGUGCGUGGAGACGCGGUGGGUGAAGGAAGCUUGACCAUUUCGAAGAUGAAAUGGCUGGCACGUGAAUUGCUUCUCUAGAUUGUCCUCCCCGUGGUCUGAGCUGGCCUGGGCUUAGACCGUCCUUUGUCAGAAGCAGGAAGCUGGGUGAUGCAGGAUGUAUGUACAACGUUCAUCGGGAAAAGUAGGAGCCAGCAGAAAACUCGAGCCACCAUGAAUUAAAAAUCCGAGACGCAUCUACCUGAAAUCCUGUUCACGCUUUUUUGUUGGUAAAUCCCAGUGAAUCCAGUGGGACUCCUCUCCAUACAUAAGGGCAGGGCACUAAAGGGCCAAAGAGCUUUUGGAUGCUUUAGCUACAGCAGGCUUAACCACGGUUUCUCUUCAGGAGCUUCAUACCAAAAGUGCUUCAGCAGCCUGACUCUACAGUGAACAGAGUCUUUCAAUUCUUAAACUGAUCUUUUCCCAGGAGUUUUGCUGCCUCUGUGAUCCCAGAUCUUACCAAAGACUUCAGCUGACAGCUCAAUCGGUAUGAGAUAGAUGGAAAGGGUUCUCUUGAACACCCCACAACAUUUUUUCCCCCCCUGGAGGGCAUCCCAUUUCCCUGUUGAGCUGAUAAGCACGACACCACCUGAGCAAGAACACAAUGAUAAGAAAGCUAGGAGUAUAAAGAUCCUGCAGAGAUGAGAGGAAGAGCUAGCAACAUAUUGUUCUUAGAUCAAAGAUAGCUGAAAAAACAUUUUACCCAGCAUAAUAUUGAUUGAUCUCAAAUUGCUGCAGUUUUGGCAUCCAUAUGGUGCAUUUCUUCUCAGUUUAACAUUUGGUUUCAUUGACAAAACAUUAUUCAUAGCAAAUGAAAUGAAUGUAUGUAUGUUGUGUUUAGUCCUGUUAAAUCGCUACAGCUCUCCAGUGAUUUGGAGGUGGGAAGAGGACUGUUUGCCCAUUAAAAAAAAAUUGUUUCUAAAAUGUUGACUUGUGACAAAUAUAAACAAAUUAAAUUAAUACCAAACAGUUAUUAAAAAACUAUAUAUCAGAGU